CCUUAGGUCUGAAUGCUAGAACUGCUGCUGGAAGCAGGAAAGAUGAUGAUUUUAAAUCUGCAGCUACUGCAAGAGUCACUGCAAGAGGAAAUGUACUUUUUUA